rnacentral:rRNA from 1 species
AUUGAACGCUGGCGGAAUGCUUUACACAUGCAAGUCGAGCGGCAGCGCGGGGCAACCUGGCGGCGAGCGGCGAACGGGUGAGUAAUGCAUCGGAACAUGUCCAAGUCGUGGGGGAUAGCCCGGCGAAAGCCGGAUUAAUACCGCAUACGCCCGAGAGGGGAAAGCCGGGGACCGCAAGGCCUGGCGCGAUUGGGUUGGCCGAUGUCCGAUUAGCUAGUUGGCGGGGUAAGAGCCCACCAAGGCGAUGAUCGGUAGCUGGUCUGAGAGGAUGAUCAGCCACACUGGGACUGAGACACGGCCCAGACUCCUACGGGAGGCAGCAGUGGGGAAUUUUGGACAAUGGGGGAAACCCUGAUCCAGCCAUUCCGCGUGAGUGAAGAAGGCCUUCGGGUUGUAAAGCUCUUUUGUCCGGAACGAAACGGUGCUCGUGAAUAUCGAGCGCUACUGACGGUACCGGAAGAAUAAGCACCGGCUAACUACGUGCCAGCAGCCGCAGUAA